AUGUUUAUGCUCGCCGUCCGUGGCGAACCGUUCGGGACAUCACUACCCAUAAUAUUAAAUUUAAGGUUUCAUUGGCUGUAAGUAUGCAUAAAUUAGUGACUGAAUUGGCAUAGUUGAUGCUAUCUCUCCAGGCAGAGAAACACCAUUAUUAAAAUCCAUUAUUAAAAACUAAUCAUCUCAGGCUAUAUUACAAUUACCAUUUUGACUAGGAUU